GUUCACGGCGUAGUGAAGCGGCAACAGCUCAAAUUUGAAAUCUGGCUUCGGCCCGAGUUGUAAUUUGCAGAGGAAGCUUUAGGUGCGGCCCCAACUGAGUCCCCUGGAACGGGGCGCCACAGAGGGUGAGAGCCCCGUAUAGUUGGACGCCUAGCCUGUGUAAAGCUCCUUCGACGAGUCGAGUAGUUUGGGAAUGCUGCUCAAAAUGGGAGGUAAAUUUCUUCUAAAGCUAAAUACCGGCCAGAGACCGAUAGCGCACAAGUAGAGUGAUCGAAAGAUGAAAAGCACUUUGAAAAGAGGGUUAAAUAGCACGUGAAAUUGUUGAAAGGGAAGCGCUUGUGACCAGACUUGCGCCGGGCUGAUCAUCCGGUGUUCUCACCGGUGCACUCUGCCCGGCUCAGGCCAGCAUCGGUUCUCGCGGGGGGAUAAAGGCUCCGGGAACGUAGCUCCUCCGGGAGUGUUAUAGCCCGGGGCGUAAUGCCCUCGCGGGGACCGAGGACCGCGCUCU
rnacentral:rRNA from 1 species